GUCUUUUUGAUUAUAAUUUAAAGUCUAAUCUGCCCACUGAUAAUUAUUAAAGGGCUGCAGUAUAAUGACUGUACAAAGGUAGCAUAAUCAAUAGUUUUUUAAUUGGAAACUUGUAUGAAAGAUUUGAUGAAAUAUAGACUGUCUCUUAUUUAUUUUUAGAAAUUUAUUUUUUAGUUAAAAAGCUAAAAUAAUUUUAAAAGACGAGAAGACCCUAUAGAGUUUUAUAUUUAUUUUUAUUUUAAAAUUAUAUUAAAUUUUUUUUUUAUUAAAAUAAAAUUAAUUAUUGUAUUGGGGCGAUAGAAAAAUUUAAUGAACUUUUUUUAAAAAUUAAACAUAAAUAAAUGAUUAAAUGAUCCAUUAAUAAUGAUUAUAAGAAAAAAUUACCUUAGG
rnacentral:rRNA from 1 species